GCCGGUGUAGCUUAGCCUGGUGGAGUGCGCGGCUGUUAACCGCGUGGUCGGAGGUUCAAAUCCUCCCACCGGCG
rnacentral:tRNA from 1 species